UCCCUUGUAACUUUGUGCAUUUGGGAACUCAGUUUGCCAGUAGCUUGAGCUGGGUGGUGGUAAUUGUACUUCUGGAGUUGCUUGCGAGGAUGAGCUUUCUUCAAUUCUUUUCCUUCUUUUGUCUUUCUUUGCUGGGAAUAAUACUCCCUCUUCCAGUCACUUGGUUUUGCCCACAUGAUAUAUUCUAAAUCUUCUAUUGACCAGUUUAAAAUUGGUGACCCCAACUGUAUAGCCAUUUUCU
rnacentral:lncRNA from 1 species